rnacentral:rRNA from 1 species
UCAGGGAGAAGUCUCUUCGGGGAUGAUUAAACCGGCGCACGGGUGAGUAACACGUGAGUGACCUGCCUUUUAGACUGGAACAACUUACCGAAAGGUGAGCUAAUGCCGGAUGAGUUAUAUAAGUGCAUGUUUAUAUAGGAAAAGUUGGGGAGACCUGACGCUGAAAGAUGGACUCGCGUCCCAUUAGCUAGUUGGUAGGGUAAUGGCCUACCAAGGCGACGAUGGGUAGCCGGCCUGAGAGGGUGGCCGGCCACACUGGGACUGAGACACGGCCCAGACUCCUACGGGAGGCAGCAGUGGGGAAUUUUGCGCAAUGCUCGUAAGAGUGACGCAGCGACGCCGCGUGAAUGACGAAGGCCUUCGGGUCGUAAAGUUCUUUCGACAGGGAAGAAAAUGCCUAUAAGUAACUGUGUAUGUAUUGACGGUACCUGUAUAAGCAGCCCCGGCUAACUCCGUGCCAGCAGCCGCGGUAAUACGGAGGGGGCGAGCGUUGUUCGGAGUGACUGGGCGUAAAGAGCACGUAGGCGGUGUUGUAAGUCAUUAGUCAAAGACUAGAGCUCAACUUUAGUAAGGCUAGUGAUACUAUAAUACUAGAGUAUCAGAGAGGAUUGCAGAAUUCCUGGUGUAGCGGUGAAAUGCGUAGAUAUCAGGAGGAAUACCGUUAGCGAAGGCGGCAAUCUGGCUGGAAACUGACGCUGAGGUGCGAAAGCGUGGGUAGCAAAUAGGAUUAGAUACCCUGGUAGUCCACGCUGUAAACGAUGGAUGCUAGGUGUUGGGCUUUUAAGUUCAGUGCCGCAGCAAAC